AGCAGCCGCGGUAAUUCCAGCUCCAAUAGCGUAUAUUAAAGUUGUUGCAGUUAAAAAGCUCGUAGUUGAAUUUCGGGAUUGGCGCAUCGGUCGUGCCUCACGGGGUAUGAACUGGUGCAGUCAAUUUCUCACCUUCUGGAGAACCGCGAUGUCCUUAAUUGGAUGCCGCGGGGAACCAGGACCUUUACUUUGAAAAAAUUAGAGUGUUUAAAGCAGGCAUUUUUGCUUGAAUACAUUAGCAUGGAAUAAUAAAAUAGGACGGCAUGGUUCUAUUUUGUUGGUUUCUAGGACCACCGUAAUGAUUAAUAGGGAUAGUUGGGGGCAUUAGUAUUCAAUUGUCAGAGGUGAAAUUCUUGGAUUUAUUGAAGACUAACUACUGCGAAAGCAUUUGCCAAGGAUGUUUUCAUUAAUCAAGAACGAAAGUUAGGGGAUCGAAGACGAUCAGAUACCGUCGUAGUCUUAACCAUAAAACUAUGCCGACUAGGAAUCAGACGAUGUUAAUUUUUUAAUGACUCGUUUG
rnacentral:misc_RNA from 1 species